UUGGUUCCUUUGUUCUGAUGUUUUUUUCCCUCCCAAUAAGGAGGAAAGAACGGAGUGGAGUCUUUUGAUUCAUCUGCCCAUAGUCUUACUAGAUUGGCCAGCUAGGUACAUGGGGAGAGAGGGAUGCGAAGGACUGACUAGGAUCCUGCAGCCAAGCAGAGGAUGAGAGCCCACGUCCUGGGCCUCCCAGGCUCUCCCUCUUGUCACCAGACCCUACUAGCUCAUGGCGCCCCUGUCUCCCACAGUAUACAGCUCUGUCUGUUCCCCACGUCCCUUUGAUCAAUCCCCUAUUUUGCUUGACUAAGAGUCAAAUACGUGAGGAGUGCACACAAAAGAACUAAGCUCACUUAAAUCACUGGUGGGUAAUUUGAUAGAUGAGUUGGCCAGCACCCAUUGCGGGAAUUAAGUGAAGCCGAGCAGUGAGAUGCUGGGAAACAACCUUGAGUGACUGUGGUAAACAGGUGGCCUCAUUUUACCCCGGGGGCAGGGCCACCCCCAGCUCUACAGCUCAGACUGGAAGGCUAUGUGCUGUGUCUGCCAGGUGGGCCGUUGACAUUUCUCCCCCAGACUCUUCCUCCAAAAGGCAGGACAAAUGUCUCUGCAGCAGGCCCUCAGGCAGAACCAGCAGCCCCUUGGUGCCCACUGUGACUCACCUGGGCUUAGGGCAUCUGACUGUCAAGGAGGACAUGACAGACACAGGGUUCUCCUGCGUUCUUGCCCACCGGCCUUAUUUCCUGGAGCCCACCCAGGUAAGAACUCCAGUACACACUCUUGCUUGUUGGCUCACAGGGAACGCAGAGGGAACAAGGGUCUUUCAAGAGAUGGGAGUGGUGUAAUAUAAACGGGUGUUUUAUGGGCCAUGUGCAGAAAUCGACCGCUGCACCAAUGGGAAGAAGAGCUAGUUGCAAAGGAGAAACUUCUAGGUCCUUUCAUCGUGGUGAGGAUUGUUAGCUUUGACUUCAGAUAAGCAGAACAAACAAGCCUCAGCCCAAGUGGGAACUGGUUCUGCCCCCUUUCUUUGCUUUUCUAAGUCAUCAAAGCCAAGUUCCUAAAGCCUAACUGUCUCACGGUACUUUCUGAUGGUUUCAUUGUUUUGUUUAUUGUGCUUAUGACAAGUGCUAACAGACCGCUUUCAAUGUGUGUUGAUAUUUCGGUUGUUUUUGAAUGGCCCUUCUGUUUUUCUGCAUCUGGACAGCAUUAGAGUCUGGCCCCAGGGAACCACUGGGUUCCUAUAAAAAUGUACCAGGUCCCCUUAUGCAGAAAACAUUGGUUAUGGCAAGAUCAGACACCCCAUCUGGGCAGGAACAAACACUAAAAAUUAGAGCAGAAUCAUGAGGCAGUAUUCAGCAGCUGGGGAAGACAGGCCUGAGUUGGGAAGAGGCCAACAGGUAUUGCCAACUGGACUGCGGGUGUUCUCUUUCUGUCCAUGGACAUAUUGUGAUCUUCCUGUGGGAAGGACUCUCGCUACCAGAGUGCCUGGCACAGGGCAAUGCCACUAAAUCUGUUGUUGAUAGGUUCUCUGUCUCUUUCUCUCUGCCCCCUUAUCCCAGGUUGCUGGUCAACCACCAGCAUAGAGUCCAAAUAGGGGGCUCCUGGGGACCGGACAAAGAACAAGAGCUGGAAGCGGGAGAACAAUCAGGAGUCCAGGAGGGGACUGGAAGGGGCAAGGCAGCCCCAGGAAGGCCCCAUUCUCCAGCUCCCUGAUCUGCUUCUCUUCAUUGCUCUCUUGAGGAGCUUCUAAAAAGUUGAAGUGGGAAAGGGAAGGGUAGAAAUGUCCUUCUAAGAUUCUGCCUUUGGUUUUCAUGGCCUUUCCUUUCUACUCCUGCUUUGUACCCUUUCCUUCUCUGCCAACUCUGCCACAUACUGCACUUUAGGAUACUCAACCCAGUUUCUGAGCCUGGUCUCUUGGGGUAAAGACCAAGCUCAAAGGGAGCGAGUUACACAUGCAAUCUCACUUUAUAAGCUUAGGACAAAUUCUAAUCCAUUUCUUCAAGGCUUUCUCUGUUUUCCCUUGCAAGCUGGAUGAGUUUUUCUUUCACCCGUGUGUCUUAAAAACCAGAUGCCGCUAAGUUGAUUCUGACUCAUGGUGACCUCAUGUGUGUCAGAGAAGAACUGUGCUCCAUAGGGUUUUCAAUGGCUGACUCGUCAAAAGUAGAUUUCCAGGUCAUUCUUUCAAGACACCUUUGGGUGGACUUGAAUCUCCACCCUUUUGGUUAGCAGCUGAGUGCAUUAACUAACUGUUUGCACCACCAAAGGACUCCCCAUGUGUCUUACCAGCUUGUAAAUGGUUGUCUCUUGCUUGGUUUCAGAGGGACCAGGACUCCUCACUGAACUUCAAGUAUCUCUGUGGCUCAGUUUGCAAAGGCCCUGUCUCCUUCCUGUGAACUAGCAGGCUCCCCUGAACUCACUCUAAGGGUCAUCGAGAUGGAGAUUGAAGUGGGCUACAGACAGAAAUUGCUUCGGGGCCUUGAUUCUGGCAAAGGAGAUGAAGUAAGACUCUGGGUCCAGGGCCAGGCAGAUCUUGACAGGCUGUGCUGAUUGGCCCUGAGAAGGUGAGCGUGCCCUCCACCAGAGGAGCAGGCUGGUUUUGACAUAUGGGCAUUACCAGAAUUUUCUAUCAUAAAGACAUUUUCUAUUUUCCAAUGUGAUUUCCUGGAUAGGCAAGGUAAAGAACUGUGGUCCUGUCCCUGCCACACCGUGUCUGUGUGUAUGUAUAUGUGUAUGUGUGUGUGUGCAAGUGUGAUCGCUUGUCAUUUUGAAAAAUUUCUAACUUUAUGUAGCAGUUUCUUUCUCACCAGGGUCUCUCCUGUGUAAAACUUUACUUUUAUAGCUUUGGCUGUUAAUUCAUCAUGGGCACCACCAUCAAUAAAUAUUUAUUGAGCUUUCACUGGGCAUGGCAUGUUGAAAUAAGAACUACAUAUUUGAUUCAAGAGGAGUCAAUAGCAGAUGGGGGUAGACUUGGGGAGGGGUGGAAGAAGCAAUCAUUUAGGUCUCUUCCAACCUGGAGAUUUUGUGACUUUGUAUCUGAAGUGUUGGAACCCACUUGGCACACAUUAGGCCAACAGCGUAGACAAGAGAACAUGGCUACCAGAGAUACAUGGUGGACAGCAAGGCAGUCAGUCACCUUCAGAAUGCCCAACCCAGUGUCAGCCAGCACAUGCCUUCAGCAUAUAUUCCCACUAGCCUAUGUCUCUGCUUUGGGAUUCAAGGCUGCAAAGGAGUAUAGCGAAUCUUCUCGGCCUUUUCCAUGGUGUCCGACAAAAGUAAAUAUUUGCUGAUUGAAUGAUGGUUUGCCAUUUGAUUCUGGAAUUUAAAAGAAGCACAGAUCUGCAAAAACCUGGAGCCUGUUGAUGCUCCCUUUUGAAAUGUUAUCAGAGGGCAGCCUGAUGGGAGUCCCCACUGGGUGGGUGCUCUUGGACAGUGUGGGCUGGAAGGAAGGCCAUCUGGAGGGAGGGCUGCGUGCCUCUCGUAGAGCCCUAGUUAAACAGACCAGAACAGCCUGCCUGCCACAGCGGUAACUCAGGCCUCCUGGGGGAUUUUCUUCAACAUUAUGAAGAUGAACAUGGCUCUGAGAAUUCCCUUUGGAACUGGUCUUUAUGCUAAUUGCCUCCAAAUUUAUGGGAAGAGGGGCAGGCCGUGGUGAGAGGCUCUGGAGUGGAGUCUGUGGGCACGCUGCAGGAGGGAUGUAAACAGGCAGAUCUGAGCCUCAAGGGGUCAAGAUGUUCAGUUUCCCAUUGUCAGGCAGGCAAGGUAUUAUUAUUACUAUCCUUAUUCCCAUUAUACAAAAGAGGAGCUGAAACUGAGAUGAAGGGUGGUUGAGUGUUUUUCUUUUUUUUUUAUCCCCGUUGUACAAAAGAGGAGCUGAAACUGAGAUGAAGGGUGGUUGAGUGCCCAAGGUAGCACUAUCAGGAGGGCAUCCACUGAGCCCAGGUGAAGAGGAGAUGUAGAGUGCAGGUCUCUUGCCUCCAGGCCAUGGUUUUUCCACUACCCUGAAGGUAGAGGUGAGGAUAACUCUCAGGAGGUCCCUUCACCUGGUUUAUUGCCUGAAGGGGUGGGCAAUCAAGCAGAGGGGAACCUCCCUUCCUCAUAAAAGAUACUAUCUAGUGUCUCACAAGCUGCUUUUCCCUGAGGUUAGGUGGUGGUCCCAGGGCUGAUAGAGAAGCAAGGACCAGGGGGAUAUUGCCUGCUUCCACAUUUACUGCUAGGCACCUCGACUCUCCAAAGCUCAGUUUCCAUGUCUGUAAAAUGAAGAUAAUGAUAGUAACUAUCUCAUCAGAUUGGUGGGGGGCAGUGAAUGAAAUAAUGAGCAUGAGGAGAUUUGCAUUAUGCCUGGAAUAUAGUCUAGUGGUGAGGGAUGCAGGCUGGACCUGGCUGCCUGAGCCCAGAGAGGCUCACUGACUCUGGUUCCACAGCUAGGGAGGAGCAGAGUCAUGGUGAGUUCCCAAGACAGCACCCUUUCCAGGCUGCUCCAAGCUGGGUCCUUUGAUCAGGGACUGGGGUGGAGCUUUCGUCAUAGGAUGUGGCUACCUUGGAGGUUGGGACUAUGUGACUUCCUAGUCCCCUGGAAUAGCUGCUACUUGGUAAGGGGCAAAGCACUGCAGGGACUCCAGGAGACAAUGCUUGCUUCCCUCUGGAGACCAGCCCUGGGGUGUGCCUGAGCAGCUGCCUGGUCUGCCCACAAUCCAGUAGGGAAGAUCACCUCCAGGCAGAGCGGAAGCCAAUAGGCCAGCCAUGGUGGGGGUGCCCCCGGCGUCCCGGGGAUCUUGCCAUGGCUUUCUGUCAAGCCUCUGUUGGUGCCUGGUUCCCCCAUAAAGCAUUCUGUACCGGGAGAGUUAAUCAUGCUGUUAGGUAAGCAUUAUGGCACUUUUAUGGCAGCUUUGAAGCUAAUCUGUCACUAAUGCCUGCUGGAUUAUCAUGGUUUCUUGCAGUUGUGAUUCAUUAACUCGAGGCCUGAUAGUAAUUCUAUUAAACAUCUCCCACCACUGUUUGCCCCAACAUGUCCCCAGUCUCUGUUCUAUUGUACUGCCACAGUGGCGUGACUGGCAACCUGUGUGGUCUCCAAAAAAGGAGCCCUAAGAAGAUGGACAGGUCCCCCCGCCAGCUAGAAACUGCCCAAUGACUUGUCCUUCCCCCGCCCAAGUCCAGAACACAUCUCCUCCCCAUUCCAGCUCACGCUGCCAAAAAGCUGGAUGUUUCUCUUCAGCUGACUUUAGCGUUUCUCCAAGCUAGGUCACAGUGCCUUUCCUGAAACCCCACCACUGCCUCUGAGAGGGCAGGCCACAAGGAAGUGAAGAGUGCAACAGGAUAAACUGGUGGGUCUCAGUGUGGGACAAGCACCCACAGCUCCACAGUUGACUGCUAGGUCUAGCUGGGCCCACUUGGGGCAGAAGUGGGUUUGGGGCUGGGAGAGAGAAAUGGGAGCACUCCUAAAGAAUCCCGGUCACACUACCGUUCCCACUCUUGCUCCAGGCGAACAGGACUCAGGUUGAGGAGGCAGCAGGACACGGGGGAAGGAAUGGUGGCACUCCUUUGACUGCCGGGCCUGCCAGCAUUAAUAAAAGUCUUUGGUGAGGUUUUUCAGAAAGAAAUGGUUUUCUUAGGCUGGCUGUUCUCUGCGGAAGGUCAACUUCGGGGCAUGGCUUGACGGAUGGGCUGUGAGCAGGCAUGAAAAAGAGAGCUGGGGAGAAAGGGGCCGGUGGGGGUGGGCUGGAGGAAGUCCGGUGUUGAACAGGAGAGCGGCUCUGCCCUGGUGCCAGAGGAGGACAGGAGGAUGGGACAAACCAGUGAUUGAAGCUUGUCCAUACGCUGCCCCUCAUUCUGUAUCAUCAAUCAAGCCCAGUGUGGAUAUCUCAACAAUUUGUAAUCCCCUCUGCCCCCUCUGACGUGCUCAAGGGCGCGCCAGCGCUGACCCUUCUCGCCCUCAUCCAGGCCUCUGCUGCUGCCUGAGUUGAUGGAUGGCUUCUCCUCCCACCAGGCUCUCUUCGCUCACAGCUGGGGAAACACCGGCAGGUAGCAGUGGGGUCAAACCGGGGGCAGCCAGAAUGACCCAGUCACUGAGGCCAAGGGGCCCUGUGUUCCCACCGGCAGCAGGUGAUGCCAGGCAUACAGAAAUGAAACCGAGAGAGGAAGCAAGGAAAUAAUUUUCAACACAAAGAGGAAAAAAAAGAACCUCAAAACCCUCACUACAUCUUGAGGUCUUCCAAGUCUUCUAAAAAUCUUCAAAGCGGCGCAAUGUCUUCUGUGCACAGCUACAACAUUGCUCCGCUCCAUCUGUGUUUUCUCUCGCCUCUGUGCUUUAAGAACCUCCGAAAUAAGAAACAAGUUAAAAAAGACAUAGAUGCGUACAUAGCGAGGCUGAGAAAGAGGGGACAGUGCUCUGCAGCCUGGAUUUGCUUUUUGCCAGUGUUUGUUGUAGGAAAAAGUGUAUAAAAAUAACUCUUAGACAACUGGAGUAAAUAUUCUCAACACAUCAGCCGAGGAAGUAGUCAGGAUCCAAUGUUUCCAUCCUUCCUUGUCUGGGCAGAGAUGCCAGGAAAAGAAAAGAAAGGCCCUCUGCCCAGUUUUCCAGCUUCUGGGUUGUAUUCCUGCUUCUUUGCUCAUGGGUGAGUCUGGUUCUUUGUGUGGGGGUUUGAAAAUUGUUCUGAGGUGAGAAAUGGCCAGUGGUCCAACCACGAGGGGCUUCUUUGAGGAGCUGCCCUCUGACAGCCUAGAGGCCUUUCAAAAACAGGAAGUGAAUAGUAGCCCAGGUAUGGUCUGUGUGUAUGUAUAUGUAUUCGUGUGCAUGUGAGUGUGUGCAUAUGUGUGUAUCUGUGUGUGCAUGUGUGCUUAUGUAUGUAUAUGUGUGUAUGUGUGCAUAGUGUUAUGUGUAUAUAUGCAUAUGUAUGCAUGCACGUGUGUGUGUGUAUAUAUGCAUGUGUGUGUGUAUAUAUGCAUGUAUGUGUGCAUGUGAGUAUAUGUGUGUGUGUGGUGCUGUAGAGGUCUGUGCCUGCUGCAGAGAGGGUCAGGUGAGAAUUCAGCUCAGCAUUGCUGAACUCAUUCUUGGCCUUGAAUGUUGGGGAAACCUGCUCUCCAACACCCCUGCAGCCUGGUACCCAGGCAGCCUGGCACAGACACCACAGACGACUUCCUCCUGGAACUUUCUGUGGCUGAGUAGGAGGGUCAAGAAGGGAGUCUUCAGGCAAAGGAACAGUAGAAAGUGAGGACAGAGGGGAAGGAGCGUCUGUAGAAUGGUAGUGGGUUGUGGAGGAAGAGAAAGAUGAUGAAGAAGGGACAUGGAGCAAAACGGAUAUUGAAAACCUGGCGGAAGGAGAAAGGAGGAGAGAGGAAAGAGCUGAGAGAAAGAUCCAAGAGAUGAUCACGGGGCAGGAGUCAGCAGGGAAAGAAAGAGGGAAAAGAAAUUUAAUGAGGGCAACUUGAAGGCCAGCUUUAACCAACAGCUGGCAGGGUGCCUGGUUUGAUCUCCUUGUGAGUCAGGCGGUUUGAUUAAUCAUGGCCUGUGGAGGAGGAUGGACACCUGGCCUCACUCUGAGCUCUUUGAUCUCUGGGAUUUCUCAGGGCCUGUGGGAGGGGUGUUGCAUGAAUGUGUGCACUCCCAGGGCACUCAGGGAGCUGGGGGCUCCCUGAGAAAGAAGCAGGAGAGGCAGACAGGGAGAAAGCGGCCCUCAGAGAAGCUAGGAGAAAGAGAAUCAGCAAGCUGGGGGUGGGGCACCAGGGUGGGGGUAAGGGGGUAGUCCAGGAAUGGCGAGGAAGAAAUUCAAAAGGAGCUGGGGGCAUCAGGAGUGACUAAAACUGCCCUUCAGGAAGGUUUGCUGAAGGAAAUGGACUGGAGAGGGAGUCCACUUGGAGGCGAAAGUUCACUCGUGAUUUCGGGGAUGAUUUGGCAAUGAGAAUUUUCCCCCCUCUCUUUUCCUACAAGGGAAUAACUAAACAGUUAAGGAGAGCCAGGUGAAGGAGAACAACCUUUUGUACAAAAUUGUGUUCUCUUGCUUGUGGCUCCAGGGCUGGCUAGUUUAAUCGAGGAAGGAGCUCUUCUCGGGGUGUGUGUGAGGAAAACAAGAGUUAUUGGGCUGCCUGGAACUGGCUCCAUUUUAUACAUGUUGGAUGGAAACAGAUUUGAGAAAAGAAAGUGACAUAUUGCCCAAAAAAAAAAAAAAAAAAGAAACC